rnacentral:rRNA from 1 species
CAGCAGCCCGCGGUAAUACGUAGGGCGCAAGCGUUGUCCGGGUAUUAUUGGGCGUAAAGAGCUCGUAGGCGGCUUGUCACGUCGGGUGUGAAAGCCCGGGGCUUAACCCCGGGUCUGCAUCCGAUACGGGCAGGCUAGAGUGUGGUAGGGGAGAUCGGAAUUCCUGGUGUAGCGGUGAAAUGCGCAGAUAUCAGGAGGAACACCGGUGGCGAAGGCGGAUCUCUGGGCCAUUACUGACGCUGAGGAGCGAAAGCGUGGGGAGCGAACAGGAUUAGAUACCCUGGUA